rnacentral:rRNA from 1 species
UUCUAUUAGAAAUUAUUAAUAGUAAAAUCUGCUCCAUGUAUAAUAAAUAGCCGCAAUUUGUGCUAAGGUAGCAUAAUCAUUUGUCUUUUAAAUGAAGACUAGAACAAAAGAUUUAACAUUUUCAGUUUAUUUUCCUAAUUCAUCCAAUCAAAUUUAUCCUAAAUGUAAAAAGACAUUUAUAUAAAAGAAAGACGAUAAGACCCUAUUGAACUUAACUGUAGUUAAACUGGGGCAGUAAAUUAAUUAUUAUUUUAAUAAAAUUUACUCCACAAAUAUCUAAUACAAUUAAAUAAUUCAGUUACCAUAGGGAUAACAGCGUAAUAAUCUUCUAAAGAUCUUAUUUAAAAUAUAGAUUACGACCUCGAUGUUGAAUUAAUAACCUAAUUAAGGCAAAACUUAAAAAAGGAAGUCUGUUCGACUUUUAAAAAAUUACAUGAUUUGAGUUCAGACCGGUGUAAGCCAGGUCGGUUUCUAUCUUCUAAAAAAUUUUUUACAGUACGAAAGGACCUAAAAAUAUAAUA